GUGAAUCAUCAAAUCUUUGAACGCAAAUUGCACUCUCUUCGGAGAGUAUGCCUGUUUGAGGGUCAGCCUAUAAAAAAUCGACAUAGUUGCUGUUUCGCGGUGGCGUUCGUCGGAAAUUGGGUUAUCUUAAAUCCUUUGGUUUUUUAAGCGUCUUAAUUUUUUUUGUGUUUUUCCGUGAGCUUUUCUGA
rnacentral:misc_RNA from 1 species